AGCAGCAGAUCAGGGCCAUCUGCAAAUUCCUCCGUCCUUGUCCGUGUGGGACGUCCUAAAGGGAUGGUGUCUGAUGAAUGUUGCAUUAGAUUUUUGGAAAAGCUGAAAGUUUACGCGACCAGUCAGGACCUGGUUUGCCUGAUAGUUGACAUCCAGAGGGAACCUGAAGACGUGGAGGUCGUGGUGCCCUCUGAGGGUCUUGGAAUUCAACACAUUCGUUAACUUUUUCUGAUUUUAAAGGUGUACCAGCUGAGAGAGGGUGGAUCAGCUGGAGCAGAAGGUCCAGGUGCUGGAGGGACCGGACAGUGCUGGGGGGUGCUGGUCAACCCUGAUAGCAGGACAUCUUGUCAGCUU